rnacentral:tRNA from 1 species
CAUUAGAUGACUGAAAGAAAGUGCUGGUCUCUUAAACCAUCAAAUAGUAAAUUAACGCUUACUUCUAAUGA